rnacentral:lncRNA from 1 species
UGGGAAGACAAUCAAAGCUUCGGGUACAUUUCGCUACCCGAUGGGCCAUUUAAACAUUUAUAAAGGGAUUUCAUUCAAUUGUCAUUUUCAACGCAUGCUUUCUGGUUGUAUAAAAGCUUUCCCAUGCAAGAAAGCUGAUGUUAUAACAGUAGAUUAUUAUGCUACAGUGUUUUUUUGCCAGGUAAAAUUCAUUGAGGACAAUCCCUUCACAAUCUAGAACUGGAAGAUUGGAUUUUCUGAAAACAUCGGAGAAAGACUGUCCUUGCCAUCCACACUACAGCAAAUCUUUGGAGACUUGAACUUUGGGUUCAUAAUCUCACAACUGAGAAGGGUCCCACCACACUCCUGGAACUGUGCACCCAUUGGAAACCUUAAGGUAAAACUAACCAGGAAUGUUUCUCCCCAGAAAAAGAUGGCAUCCUUGAUGUCAACAACUUUUCCCGAGAUCACAGAUCAAGACUUCUAUUAUCAUCAGACUCUUAUCUUUGAAUAUUUUUUCUUUGUUUAUGCCUCUAUAAAAAGGGUGUCUAUUAUUUGAACUUAUAGGGCAUAUUUUAUUUGUGAAGGAAUUUGCAGCCAGUCUUAUACAUGAAUAACCUUAUACUUUAAUAGAUAAAAGAUGAAAGCCCAAUGUAGGUGAGAAACUUCGGGGGUCAAAACUCCUCUUAAUCCACAUCAAGGAUUAAAGAGAACAGUGCCAGGAGGCCUUCACUCUUCUAGAAGGACAUCAUUUGUUAGGUCCUUUUUCCAUGAUUUAGAAUAAAAGAGACAAUAAUUAGAAAUGUCACCCUCACAAUAUGCUCUACAGCAAAUUCUACCUUAAAGGCUAUCAUUACACAACAGACUUUAAAUCCUCUUGUGAAAGUUAUGCUAAAUAAUACAAUUGGCUAAAUAGAAAAGUACCUGUGCAGAUGCUGACACUAGUGGCCUAUGGAGAAAUACAUCAAAUGUAGAUUAUAAAAAUUCAUUUGUAGGGUUUCAAUAAAAAGGACACUUAGUCAAAUGAGUAGAUUCUUCAUCUAGCUCAUUCUUUAAUCUAUUUAAUUUUAUGUGGUUUGGUUUAUGGGGACUCUGGAUAAGGCACAUACUCCAAACUCUUGGUAUUAUCCUCCUGAUGGUCACAGUAAUAGUCUCCCUGGUGCGCUGUAUUCUCUUAAAGGUUUUAAGUAUUUGCAUGCAGCCAUCUCUAGAACAUCAAAUGGUCUCUCUUCAACUAGAAUGACAAAAGCUGAAAGAAAUGUGUGACCAUGAGGACACCAUAAACUAUGAAUGACAUACUGAGACCAGAAACCCAAAAUGAUGGUAACUGAGAGUAGUGCUGAGGCCCUAAGUUUUGGUCACACUCUCACCGAAGUGAGAACCUGGCUGAAAAGGGGGAGUUUUUUUUUUUUUAAACGAAAUUAUGGGAGGCCAUUAUUUUGGACUGAGCUUAUGCACUAGGCCCCAACAAACCAAACCAAACUAAAAUGGAGUCACGUGUGCUAAAUGUGACAUAACCAAACUAAGGCUUUAAGAAACACAUAGAUCCUAGAACAGAUAGGGUUUUGUUUUUCUCCUGUGGACAGGUUGUUCCAGCAUAAGGAGGUACCCUCUACUCAGUCCUUAUUCUCUCCUUGCAAAACACACUAUUCUAUUGUUUCCCAGUGAGUUUCAAAACCAUAUAAGUACAUUUACGAUAGUAAUAGUAACAUGAAUGACUAAGAUUUUGGUCAUUUUCUCAAAAUUGAGAAAAUGACCAAAAGUGGGGAAUUGUUAAAGCAAACUAAAUAUGGCCUGAGAAGGACUCCAUACUUCUCUAUUUGAGUCCUUGUGAAUGAACUGUAACCUAGCUUAAUAGUCAGACAAAAUUGAAAACCUAACUUAAUACUAUGCACCUGUAACAAUGGCUGAGUGUUGGCCAAUCCCAGUGGCCAUACUUCAACCACUCACAGACUGCUGAAUGUUCAAACUGCAUUCAAAUAAGGCAAACGUCAAGCUUAACCAAUCUCACUGUUUCUGUACCUCACUUCCAAUUCCUGUAAGUCACUUCACCUUUUUGUCUAUAAAUUUGUUCUGACCAUGAGGACCACGAGGCACCCCUGGAGUCUCUGUGAAUCUGCUGUGAUUUUGGAGGCUGCCCGAUUCAAGAAUCUCUCAUUGCUCAAUUAAACUUCUUUAGAUUAAUUCAGCUGAAGUUUUUCUUUUAUCAAUAGAAAUAUGUUACAUAAAUGGAAACCACUAAACAUAAAACAAAACAAGAAAACCAAGGGCCUUGUACAACUGGUAUACAAUGUAUAAGAAAAAUGUAUACCUUUACUUUGAUACCAAAUGUGAAAAUAGGUAAAACCAGCUUAGUGGAGAUGAUAAAACUGAUUGUACAUAGUUUUUUCACUUGGUCAAUAGAGACAAUGACCAGGGUUUAUCUAGUUUCCUAAACAAAUUAUUUUGCUUUCUUAUGUGCAAAUAUAUGAUUAGAAUGUAGUAAUGCGGUGGAAAAGUUAACUUUUUCUGUCCAUUUCUCACAUGAAUUAAAAUCCGAGCUGUGGUCAAUGUGGAGUAGCUUUCUGAUGCAAUAACCUGCUUAGAUGCCUGCAUGGGGUGCCUCUAAUUCUUCAUAUCUGGAGUCACAAACCCAAUCCUAGAGUUUGUGAUCAGUCCAGUUUCCAAUGAGGAGGGAGUUAAACAACUUAGUGUUGCCAGCAUUGUAAUACCAGCAAAACACUUGUAUAAUAUAUACUAUGUGCCAGGUACCAUGUUGAACACUAAUAUGUAUAUAUACUCAAACUCAUGAAGUUAACGCUAUUAUCUGAAUUUUAUAGAUUUGGAAACUGAAGCACAGAUAGCAUAAGUAACUUGACCACAGUCAUAUAUCUACUACAUUGCAGAGCCGGGAUUCAAAUCUAGACAGGCUGGUUUCAAAGUCUAGGCUCUCAAUUGCUGUACCAUUUGCUUCUUCUAUAUUACGGUGCUUCUGUAGUAUGUCAGCUCCUUUGGUCUUGCUCUUAACUUUUGGCCUAUGAUAUACUGCUCUUUCCUAGUUACUGCUACCAGUAUUGAUAACAGUAUGCUACUAUUUUAUUAUUAAAAUGAAAAAUUUAUACGUGAAAAAUCUUAAUUUAAAUAUAUAGAUUAAUUGAUCAUUAUAACAUUCAUAUGGAGAGGUCAAAGUGAGCAUUGUUAUCUCAUGCUACACAGUUGAGAAACUGCAAUUCAGUGCUUUACCCAAAGUCAUCCAAAUAGGAACAUGCAAAGCCAAGACUUGAACACAAAUCUUCUGAUUGCAAGCACAGAGCUCAUUGACCACACUGUACCUCUUUCUUACAAUAUGGCUUUCUUAGUGCCGGUUUUCUCUCUGAGGACCUGUUUCUUCCUUUAGCUAGCUACACAGAGACUGCUCACUCCUUCAUGUGUUAUCUGCCCUCACCUAUGGCAGGCAUAUCAAAGAUAAUCACCUCAGAAUUAAAUACAACGUUUGUGCAAGAGAUGUGCCCAGACAGCAGCAGGGGAUCAUUUGGUUUUAUUUCCUGUUCAUCUUUGCAUUCUUAGCCACGCUGUGCUCUUCCUGUUUAUUCUGCCGUUUCAUGGUUUGUAAGGAAUUUGAUUGAUUAGUUUUAAUUAGUGUUCUUGGUACUUAGAAAAGGCCCCAACCUUCUUUCAUUGCAAAAUUAAUAAAUACUAGGAAGGAGAGGCUUCUAAUAGCAUUUGAGCCCUGCAAAGUUGUUACUGGGUCUCAUAAUCCAUUAGCCUUUUCCUAAUAGGAAUCUCCUUCAUCAUAAGUUGCUAAUAAAACUGAUUUAUUUUGUUGUUUCUAAAAAUCCAAGUCUUAGCAAUUAACUUAUAUUUCAAAGCAAGAUAUAACUGUGAUGAACGUUAUCAGAUUUCAAAAUUUGGUUUAACCUCUACAAGACAGUCAGCUUAUAGUUGAUAUGUUUCUUGAGUUUUAUUAAAAUCACCCAACUGCUUAUUUUGGCUAAAUACUUUGGUGGCAAUGCGAAAGAAGAUAAAUGGUUAUUAAAUGUUGCAUAAAACAAAGAAGUCAGGCAAAGAAUGGGCAGAAAAGUGUGAUUGGUCAGUGGUUGCAAAAAAAAAAAAAACCCAGUUGCAAUUACUACAGGCAUUUGACUCUGAAGACCUCAGCAUGUCUCGAGUACUUACUUAAAGGACCCUGACCUUUGAUGGCCAGCUUUGUGAGUUACCUCUUUCCACUACAGAUUUAAUGUAAUUUAGUAUCUUCUUAACAAUGUCUUUGUCAGACCAUAUAAGGUAUGGUUUGGCUCUGUGUCCCACCCAAAUCUCAUGUCGAACUGUAAUUCCCAUGCGUCAGGGGAGGAACUUGGUGGGAGGUGAUUGGAUCACAGGGGUGGAUUUCCCCCAUAUUGUUCUCAUGAUAGUGAGUUCUUAGAAGAUCUGAAGGUUUAAAAGUGUUGCACUUCCCCCUUUGCUCUCUUUCUCCUGCUGCCAUGUAAGUAAGACUUGCCUUGCUUCCCCUUCUCCUUCAGCCAUGAUUGUAAGUCUCCUGAGGCCUCCCUGGCCAUGCAGAACUGUGAGUCAAUUAAACUUCUUUUCUUUGUAAAUUACCCAGUCUUGGGUAUUUCUUUAUAGCAGUGUGAAAAUGGACUAAUACAAUAUGUAACAAGUUUUAAUAAUUUGUUAGGAGCCCAGAAAGAACCACAAAAGUUUAAGAACUCUGAGAAAGAAGAAAACUAAACAAUAAGUAAAAGUAAUUCCUAGAGUGCACAGAGGUAUAAAUUAAUAACAACAAAUAUAGAUCAGAUAGUAUUAUUUUGACAACUUCACUGUCUUCAUAUAACUUCAGAGAAGCCAGGCUGAUAUCUAAAAUUAUUUAACUUAUGCGUGUAAUCCCAGUGCAUUUGAAGGCAAGGUAGGAGGGUGCCUGGAGGUCAGGAGCUUGAAAUUGAAUUGGGCAACACAGUAAGACCUCAUCUCCACAAAAAAUAAAGAAAGUUAGCCAGGUGUGGUGGGGCACCUCAGUGGUCCCAACUAUUUGGGAGGCUAAGGCAGGAGGAUCACUUGAGCUCAGGAGUUUGAGGCUGCAGUGAACUAUGGCCAUACCACUGUACUCCAGCCUGGGCAAUAGAGUGAGAUUCUGUUCAAAAAAACCCCACAAUUAUUUAACAGAUUAUAAUUGUUGCCUCCAGGGUGUACUCUGAAGCUGAUAAUAAAAUGCCAUACCUUUCACUCAGUAUGUCAUAAUCAGAAAGCUCUGUAAAAAUACAGAUCUUAAAAUAUUAUGUUUAUGACCACUGGGGUAUAGAAGCCAGGGCAUAGGCAUGUAGAUAGAUAUUGUAUUGGUCCCUUGAAAGACUACUGUAGUUCUUCUCUUAUAUAUUCACAUCUUGCACAAGUGGAGUCAGUUUUUAUUCUGUUUUAGAUUAUGUAAUUUAUGUUCCAUUGUGUAAUGUUAUUUCCUUACAUUAUUAGUAAAUCCAGUAUUUUGACCAACCUGUCUUUUUGUCUUUUUUAAGUUGGUUGUCUGCCUAUCUAUAAAGCCAUUCUUCCAUCUUUAGUUCUUAUCAAAUCAGUCUUUUCUAUUUGAUGCUGUUUUUAAAUGAUUCUUUCCUAAUUUUCUCUAGCUUUUCUCUGUGCCAAUAAGUAUCUGAUCUAAAACUCAAUGAAUGUUCCAAUAUAAAUUGGUGAUAUUCUUAAAUACACUUAAUUUUCUGGAAGUUAAUUCAAUAGUUAACUCUUUAUUUACAGAUAUUAUCUCAGACAAGUGCUUUUCCCCCCUAGUCUCCCUAGGUGGUGCCAACAAAAUUUUUCCUCACUCAAAAUCCUGUAGAUUGAUUGUCUUCUUUUCAGGUUGCUGACUUUCUUUGCAGCUGAGAUUCUCUGUGAGAUGUCUACUAACCAUUAGUAGAAAACUAGUGAUUUUUGUUACUAAUGUAAUUAACAAUUGUUCAGAGACUUCAAUUUACUUCAAUUGAUGAAAGAUGACCAUUCCAUAACCCCUGUGGGAUAACACUCAGAAUGUGAGUAUGACCAUUCUAUAACUAUUGUAGGAUAGCACUGAGAGUGUGAGUUUACCAAUUCCAGUUUUAUUCUAAACUGAGUCUCUGUAUGAUUUCAUGUCUUCAAACAAUCAGUUGCUAAGAUACCCUUUGUCAAACAAUCCAGUAAUUCAAUAGGGAAAAAAUAGUCUUGUUUUUGCCAAGUCAAAACAGGUGAACUGUUCCAAAUAAAAAUAUAAAAGAUUAUGAAUCCAUGAACUCUUAACCCCUAAAAUAAUGUAGAAAAUUGUGAUCUGUGAAUGUAUGCAUUUUCCAGGGAGAGGAUUUUUUUACUCUUAUUAGAUUGUCAGCUCCUUGCACAGUGCUUGACACAUUGUUAAAUCUGAAUAAAUAUGAGUUGACUGAAGUAUGACUAAGUAAUUCUAAAAAUGAUUCCUUCAUUAUUAAAAAGGAGUCUAGGAAUGACCAGAAUUACUUUUUUUUUCUGUCAAUUUUCCUCUCUAAAAAUCUUAGUUUCUCCUUUUUGAUUUUCUGAGGAGGUGACUACUGGACGUUCUGAAUCCUUCAUGUUUCUUGACUUUUCUUUCAUACUUUCUAAUUCUUUAUCUCUUUAUGAUAUAUUCUGGAAAAUUCCUUUACAAUAUUUGCUGGGAAAUUCAUCAAUUCAGACUCCUAGCUCACCAAUCCACCUUCAGCUGUGUUUUUUCCCCUGCUAUUCAUAUUAUUGAAAUGUUUUAAUUUUGAUUUCAAUACUAUUUUCUCAUGGUAUUUUUUUCCCCCACUAGCCUGAUUUUAUUCCUUAGAUUUGAUGACCUCUUUCUGCUUAUCACUCAUCCAGGGAUUCCUAAUGGUUUCUGGUCCAUGGAGGUUCCUUUUCUUGAUUUUGAAUGUAGUUAUGGUUUGAAAAGAUAAUUUGAUGUCAUUUUUAGAAAUCCAAGAUGAUCAGGCCUGAGGGAAAUGAUACAUGUGUGCCUACCCUCUUUAGGUAGAAGUCCUUACUUUUUCUCCGAGUGUCUUUUGAAGCCAGUUACCCCCCACUUAAAAAAAUAGUAUUUCUUAUUAUAUUGUAAAAAUCUUAUGGAAACGUUGUUAGGUCUAAAAAAAUAAAUGAAACCCAUAAAAACUAAAUCACACUGUUAAAUAUCGCUAUUAGUGUUUUUGAUAAAUAUCUUUUUAUUGAAUGAGACUUUCUUAUUUCUUGUAUGUUCAACUCAUGGGAUGGAAGCAGGAGAUAUCCAUGAGCUGAGAAAAACACACUUAAGGUUAAAUUCAUGGAGGAGGACAAUGUAAUGGCUCUGUACUCAUUGCUCUUCAUCCCACUGCUGUGUGCUAUUGUCUUUGUGAUCUUCAUGAUUGGAUUUUGCUUCUUCAAGGAAGAUAUAAAAGAGCCCAAGUAAUUCUGGAAACCAGCAUUUUACCCUUGACCUCCUGCUUUUCAUCCUACUGGUCCUCGCCAGAAGUCGCUGGUUGCCUGGUAUAAGAAAACAAUCAUAAUUAUCUCAUUAAUACUUGGACCUGGCCUCCCUGCUAAUCAGGUUUGUACUGCUGAGAUUUCAAAGGAGAACAGAAAUCUACUAAGAAGAAAUAAAUUGGUUCUCAGGCUAUAAAUAGUUCUAGGAAGCUGCCCAGGGACAAAAAUUUGCCUGCUGGUGAAAUAAAAGACCAUGUAAACUGUAGAUUUAUUUGGAGAGUAUAGUUCCAUGAAUUUAACUGGUCUAGACUCUGGGCCUCUGGAAGGCAGAGACCAUGCUCUCAGCCUUGCCUUUAGUACCUUGUCUGUAACAGGCUAUCAGAUAUGUUGAUUGUGUCAAAGAUAAGCAAAUUCUGAAAUGAGUAAUUUUUUUCAUUCUCUAUCCUCUCUGAAUUCACUUAGUGCCUCUCAGAAUGUGUCUGAGUGGAAAGGGAUUUGCACAGGAUAUGUCCAAACAGGUUAUUGUAACUUUGGAGGUAAACUCUUGUCUAUCAUUCCAUGCACUUCAUUAUUAUUUAUAUCCAUUUCUUUCUUUCUUUCUUUGUUUAUUUAUUUAAGUAAUUGGUCAUGAAAUAGACUUGCAUGCUGAAUACUGAAAUGUGGUGUUUGACACUUGUAAAUUAUUCCAGAUUAUAUAUGAGACUAUAAUAGAUAAAAGUGAUUUAGAUAAUAAAGUGAUCUGUAAUUGAAGUAAAUGAGAGCUGGGUGCUGUGGCUAAUGCCUUGUACUCCCAGCACUUUGGAAGGCUGAGGCAGUAGGAUCGCUUGGGUCCAGGAGUUUGAGACUAGCGUGGCAACAUAGCUAGACCCUGUCUCUACAAAAAGUAAAAAAUUAACCAAGUGUGGUGAUGCGCACCUGUAGUCUCAGCUACACAGGAGGCUGAGGUGGGAGGAUCACUUGAGCUCCAGAUGUUGAGGCUGAAGUGAGCCAUAAUCAUCCUACUGCACUCCAGCCUGGGUGACAGAGGAAGACCAUGUCUCAAAAAAAAAAAAAAAAAAAAGAGAAGUAAAUGAAAACUUAGAGAAAUAGUAGUUGCAACUUCCAAACCAAAGCUUGUAAUUCUGGUCACUAUGACUUGGAAAUAUUUUCCAGAACAACUGUGACUCUUGCCGUUGCUCUAUAAAAUACUGGCAAGGUCCAAAAGGGAAUUUUCCCCCACUGUGUAUAAUAUUAUUAGACAGAUGGUAUUGUAUAGAUGUUCAUAAUGAUAAUUUUUUAAAAUUAGCACAGCAAAUAUUAACUGAACAUGAUCUUCAUGUCCUGUUCCACACAGGUUGUAUUUGUUGAUGUGGACUCUGAUAAAACUGAAAGUUCUUUACUAAUGAAUGCAAAACCAUCUCAUUGCUUACAUUCUUUCUAGAAUUUGCAUAUGCAAAGAUACAAAUUCCAGAAAUAGCACUCAAGAGAACAGUCUGUAGAAAUCUUGUCUAACAACUCUAAAUUUUCAAUCAGCAUUGAAUCAGAAUUAUAGCCAUAGUUCUCUGAAUUAUUCAUGAUAAAUAGAUGACUGGCUACCCAUGGGACUCUGAUACAGCGCUUUCAAUGUGGUAAAAUAAUUAGAAUUGUCAUAUCCACUCUUUGUAAAAUUAUGAGAACUGUUAUUUAUUAAUAGCAAAUGUCAUAACAUAAUCCAACUGUUAUUUUCC